CCUACGGGAGGCCGCAGUGAGGAAUAUUGGUCAAUGGGCGGGAGCCUGAACCAGCCAAGUCGCGUGAGGGAAGACGGUCCUAUGGAUUGUAAACCUCUUUAGGCGGGGAGCAAUGCCGGGCACGCGUGCCCGGAGGGAGAGUACCCGCAGAAUAAGCAUCGGCUAACUCCGGGCCAGCAGCCGCGGUAAUACGGAGGAUGCGAGCGUUAUCCGGAUUUAUGGGGUUUCAAGGGUGCGUAGGCGGAUUUUUAAGUCAGCGGUAAAAUGUCCGGGCUCAACCCGGGCCGGGCGUUGAAACUGGGGAUCUUGAGUGGGCGAGAAGUAUGCGGAAUGCGUGGUGUAGCGGUGAAAUGCAUAGAUAUCACGCAGAACUCCGAUUGCGAAGGCAGCAUACCGGCGCCCGACUGACGCUGAGGCACGAAAGCGUGGGGAUCGAACAGGAUUAGAUACCCUAGUAGUC
rnacentral:rRNA from 1 species